GGAGGAUUUGAUCUUCCACAGCAACUCCACUUUGUAUCUGAGCCACAAAUACUAAAGUGGGAGUUUAUAUUCAAGAGGAAAAACUGUGUCCAAGAACAUAAGAAGUCAGAUGGAGCUGAAAUAUUGAUUCUGAGAUAACGUGUACUCUUUCUGAUCAGAGAUAUAAAAGAGUCAGAGGAGCUUCACAACACUUCUGGAGCAAAGUGAAUCUACAGCAGAUGUGAAGGAGGAAACUGUGAUAUUUCAAACACUGACGACAUAAGACAAGAUGCAGUGGGACAGGAGAGUGAAUGAAAAGUGUGCGAGGGGUAAAGUUGUGAGUCGGGGCCGAACAGGGCCGAGACUCCUCCUUCUAAUCUGAGUCUAAACACAGAGAUCACAGCUUCUUUCCUCUUUCUACUCACAGUGACUCAACACUGCAGAUAUGACGCCUCUGUUCAUCUCAGUGCUGCUGGCUGCUCUGUGUCUUGAAGGCAGAGCACAACAAGACACUGUGCUGCAACCAGAAGGAGACGUGACUGCGACUGAAGGAGAAGCAGCAACACUUGGCUGUCGAUACGUCAGCAGCUCAGCAAGUGCAUCUCUCCACUGGUACAAACAGGAAGGAACCAACAGCCCAAAAUUCAUCCUGAGCCGCCUUCUAGUGGGAGAAGGAAACAAGGCAGACGACUUCAGAGAGAGAUUUUCAUCCACAAUGAAUUCCACAUCAUUUCCUCUGAAGAUCCAGAAGCUGCAGCCGUCUGACUCUGCUGUGUACUACUGUGCUCUGCAGCCCACAGUGACAGGAAACUACACAACUCUGUACAAAAACCUGUGGAGCAAAGACAAUACUCCUCUUCCUCCACCAGAGGGAGUCACUCACUGUUACUCUCACAACCUGAGCUGA